UUUGGAGUUUUUUGUUUGCUAUCUGUCUAACGCAUGUCAGGAGUUGGGGUUUUUUGUUUUGCCUUUUUUGUUUUUUUCCGUUCCUAUGGCUUGCCAUCACCACCAGAUGGCACCAUGGAGGCUAGGAUAGGAGGACUGAAGGGCUGACGUCACCGUCACACCGGUUCCCAAUCCACUCGUCAGCGGGACUUCAAGAGACGGCGACUGCCAGCAUACCAACGCUUGAGUGUUAGCCAGUAAUGCUGUUCCUGCAACUUCAGAAGAGGAGUCUGGGAAUCCAAGCAGGCAGUCUGCUCGCUCUCCUUGACGACGUCAGGAUCCUUUACCUGUCCGCCCUCCACCUCCAGCGUCCACACACCUGGCAUCGACGUUGAUUCGUUUUCCUCUCCGAGUAAGCAUACGCCUUUAGAGCUCUGGAAAAUCCCCUCGGUCCCUGAACUCACCUCCCGAUCUGUUGUUGUUCCCAGAAGUCCUGGCUUACCUGUCUGUCGCCGUCCCUUCGAUGUUUGAGAACCCACCCUGGAAAUUAUUGUAAAUAAAUCACUUUAACUGA